GAUGAACGCUGGCGGCGUGCUUAACACAUGCAAGUCGAACGGAAAGGCUCCUGCUUGCAGGGGUACUCGAGUGGCGAACGGGUGAGUAACACGUGGGUGAUCUGCCCUGCACUUCGGGAUAAGCCUGGGAAACUGGGUCUAAUACCGGAUAGGACGAUGGUUUGGAUGCCAUUGUGGAAAGUUUUUUCGGUGUGGGAUGAGCUCGCGGCCUAUCAGCUUGUUGGUGGGGUAAUGGCCUACCAAGGCGUCGACGGGUAGCCGGCCUGAGAGGGUGUACGGCCACAUUGGGACUGAGAUACGGCCCAGACUCCUACGGGAGGCAGCAGUGGGGAAUAUUGCACAAUGGGCGCAAGCCUGAUGCAGCGACGCCGCGUGGGGGAUGACGGCCUUCGGGUUGUAAACUCCUUCCGCUAGGGACGAAGCGCAAGUGACGGUACCUGGAGAAGAAGCACCGGCUAACUACGUG
rnacentral:rRNA from 1 species